rnacentral:rRNA from 1 species
UGAGCAAUCUGCCCUUCUCUUCGGAAUAAGCGUUGGAAACGACGUCUAAUGCCGAAUACGACCUCCUUUCGCAUGAUCGGAGGUGGAAAGCUCCGGCGGAGAAGGAUGAGCUCGCGGCCUAUCAGCUAGUUGGUGUGGUAAUGGCCCACAAGGCGACGACGGGUAGCCGGCCUGAGAGGGUGACCGGCCACACGUGGGACUGAGACACGGCCCAGACCUCCGUACGGGAGCAGCAGG